UUGAACGCUGGCGGCAGGCCUCACACAUGCAAGUCGCACGGUAACAGGAAACAGCUUGCUGUUUCGCUGACGAGUGGCGGACGGGUGAGUAAUGUCUGGGAAACUGCCUGAUGGAGGGGGAUAACUACUGGAAACGGUAGCUAAUACCGCAUAACGUCGCAAGACCAAAGAGGGGGACCUUCGGGCCUCUUGCCAUCGGAUGUGCCCAGAUGGGAUUAGCUAGUAGGUGGGGUAACGGCUCACCUAGGCGACGAUCCCUAGCUGGUCUGAGAGGAUGACCAGCCACACUGGAACUGAGACACGGUCCAGACUCCUACGGGAGGCAGCAGUGGGGAAUAUUGCACAAUGGGCGCAAGCCUGAUGCAGCCAUGCCGCGUGUAUGAAGAAGGCCUUCGGGUUGUAAAGUACUUUCAGCGGGGAGGAAGGGAGUAAAGUUAAUACCUUUACUCAUUGACGUUACCCGCAGAAGAAGCACCGGCUAACUCCGUG
rnacentral:rRNA from 1 species